GGGGAUAUAGCUCAGUGGUAGAGCAUUGGGCUGCAGAUCGAGAGAUCCCUGGUUCAAGUCCGGGUGUCCCAU
rnacentral:tRNA from 1 species